rnacentral:rRNA from 1 species
GACGAACGCUGGCGGCGUGCUUAACACAUGCAAGUCGAACGGAAAGGCCCUGCUUGCAGGGUACUCGAGUGGCGAACGGGUGAGUAACACGUGGGUGAUCUGCCCUGCACUUCGGGAUAAGCCUGGGAAACUGGGUCUAAUACCGGAUAGGAGCCAUUUUUAGUGUGAUGGUUGGAAAGUUUUUUCGGUGUAGGAUGAGCUCGCGGCCUAUCAGCUUGUUGGUGGGGUAAUGGCCUACCAAGGCGGCGACGGGUAGCCGGCCUGAGAGGGUGGACGGCCACAUUGGGACUGAGAUACGGCCCAGACUCCUACGGGAGGCAGCAGUGGGGAAUAUUGAACAAUGGGCGCAAGCCUGAUGCAGCGACGCCGCGUGGGGGAUGACGGCCUUCGGGUUGUAAACUCCUUGCGCUAGGGACGAAGCUUUUUGUGACGGUACCUAGAGAAGAAGCACCGGCUAACUACGUG